rnacentral:rRNA from 1 species
CCGGAGCUUGCUCCACCGGAAAAAGAGGAGUGGCGAACGGGUGAGUAACACGUGGGUAACCUGCCCAUCAGAAGGGGAUAACACUUGGAAACAGGUGCUAAUACCGUAUAACAAUCGAAACCGCAUGGUUUUGAUUUGAAAGGCGCUUUCGGGUGUCGCUGAUGGAUGGACCCGCGGUGCAUUAGCUAGUUGGUGAGGUAACGGCUCACCAAGGCGACGAUGCAUAGCCGACCUGAGAGGGUGAUCGGCCACAUUGGGACUGAGACACGGCCCAAACUCCUACGGGAGGCAGCAGUAGGGAAUCUUCGGCAAUGGACGAAAGUCUGACCGAGCAACGCCGCGUGAGUGAAGAAGGUUUUCGGAUCGUAAAACUCUGUUGUUAGAGAAGAACAAGGAUGAGAGUAACUGUUCAUCCCUUGACGGUAUCUAACCAGAAAGCCACGGCUAACUACGUGCCAGCAGCCGCGGUAAUACGUAGGUGGCAAGCGUUGUCCGGAUUUAUUGGGCGUAAAGCGAGCGCAGGCGGUUUCUUAAGUCUGAUGUG